GUGCCAGCAGCAGCGGUAAUACGAGAGAUGCAAGCGUUAUUCGGAAUUAUUGGGCGUAAAGUGUGUGUAGGUGGUUUGUUGUACUUUAAACUAAAAAAUUAAAUUUUAAUAAUUAUAAUUAAAUAAUUAUCAAACUAAGAGAUUGUUAAAAAUAAAACGAACUUUUUGGGGAGUGGUUUAAUACGUUGAUCCAAUAAGGAAGAUUAAAGUGAAAACUUUUUAUUAGAGCAUUUCUGACACUGAGACACGAAAGCUAAGGUAGCAAAUGAGAUUAGAGACCUCAGUCAGUCUUAGCUGUAAAUUAUGAAAACUUAAAAAUAAUUUUAUUAUAAAAUUAUUUUUUAUGCUAACGCUUCAAGUUUUCCGCCUGGGUAGUACAUUUGAAAAAAUGAAACUUAAAGGAAUUGACGGGGAUCCUUACAAGCGGUGGGGCAUGUGGUUUAAUUCGAUGCAACACGAAAAACCUUACCAAAAUUAGACUAUACAGGUGGUGCAUGGCUGUCGUCAGUUUGUGCCGUGAGGCGUUGGAUUUAGUUCCAUAACAAACGCUACCCUUUUAUAAUAUUUAUAUAUUUAUUAUAUACUGCUAAAUUAUAUUAAUAAUUUAGAGGAAGGAGAGGAAGACGUCAAGUCAUCAUGCUCUUUAUAUUUUGGGCCGCCCACAUGCCACAAAGAGAAAUAUAAUAAAAUAGUAAUAUAGUUUUUAUUGUAAAAUAAAAGUUAUUUUAAAAAUUUUUCCUAGUACGGAAGUUAGAUUGAAAUUUCUAAGUAAAGCAGGAAUCGCUAGUAAUCGUUGGUCAGCUAUACAACGGUGAAUUAUUGCAAGGAUCUUGUACACACCGCCCGUCACAUCAGGGAAAUUUAGGGUUAUAAAAAUAAUUUAUAUUAUUAUUAUAUAGUACUAAGUAACUAGGGUGAAGUCGUAACAAGGUAACCGUA
rnacentral:rRNA from 1 species